rnacentral:rRNA from 1 species
CCUACGGGAGGCAGCAGUGGGGAAUAUUGCACAAUGGGGGAAACCCUGAUGCAGCGACGCCGCGUGAGUGAAGAAGGAUUUCGGUAUGUAAAGCUCUAUCAGCAGGGAAGAAGAAAGACGGUACCUGACUAAGAAGCCCCGGCGAACUACGUGCCAGCAGCCGCGGUAAUACGUAGGGUGCAAGCGUUAUCCGGAUUUACUGGGUGGAAAGGGAGCGUAGGCGGCUGUGCAAGUCUGAAGUGAAAGCCCAGGGCUCAACCCUGGGACUGCAUUUGAAACUGUGGGGCUAGAGUGCUGGAGAGGUAAGUGGAAUUCCUGGUGUAGCGGUGAAAUGCGUAGAGAUUAGGAGGAACACCAGUGGCGAAGGCGGCUUACUGGACAGUAACUGACGUUGAGGCUCGAAAGCGUGGGGAGCAAACAGGAUUAGAUACCCGAGUAGUC